rnacentral:rRNA from 1 species
UACGUAGGUGGCAAGCGUUGUCCGGAAUCACUGGGCGUAAAGCGCGCGCAGGCGGCGAUCUACGUCUGGGGUGAAAGCCCGGAGCUCAACUCCGGGACUGCCUUGGAUACGGGAUCGCUUGAGGAUUGGAGAGGCAAGGGGAAUUCCACGUGUAGCGGUGAAAUGCGUAGAUAUGUGGAGGAACACCUGUGGCGAAGGCGCCCUGCUGGCCAAUUUCUGACGCUGAGGCGCGAAAGCGUGGGGAGCAAACAGG